rnacentral:lncRNA from 10 species
AAGAUCAGCAAAGGCAAGGGAAGUCUAAGAAACUCAGAGCCAAGAGGAGCCUAAGGAGGCAUGACAAUGUAAUAUGGUGUCCUGGGUGUGACGCUGCAAUUGAAAAAAGAACAUUGCUCAAUUCUGUCUGGGAAAGGGGGUGCCAUGCAGUUCUGCGGUAAGAGAGGGAGACAGACAACCCCUCCCUCCUCAGCCUCACCAGCUGGGCCUGUGCCUCUGCAAAGCUGCAGUGCACAGCCCCCCUACCCUCCCCGCAUCUGCCGUUUAACGAUGAUGGAAGUUGCUGUCAGUGUGUGGCGACAGUAAUAAACACUCUUCUUAAUAACACAGGGUGUACCUCUUAUUAAAAUGAAUGGACUCCCAC